UUUCUUUUAGUCUUCAGUAUGAAUCUGAUGUUUUUGGCGGUGUUUGUCGCCUUUGUGGCCAAUUCUCUGGCUCAGAAAAAUGAAAUAUGCUACGAUUUUCCCUUUGAGGAUGGCAGUGGUUCAUUUACCUGUUACGCCGUUCUUCCCCGUUGGUCUUACGUUUCCGUUUUUAAAAGGGUGCGCCGACUUUACCUACGGAGGUUGCGGUGGAAAUAAAAAUAAUUUCGAUUCUAAAAAGGAAUGCGAAGACACUUGUGUUGAAUAAAAAAAAAUUAACUUGUA